AACGAACGCUGGCGGCAUGCCUAACACAUGCAAGUCGAACGAAGUCUUCGGACUUAGUGGCGCACGGGUGCGUAACGCGUGGGAAUCUACCCUUGGGUUCGGAAUAACAGUUGGAAACGACUGCUAAUACCGGAUGAUGACGUAAGUCCAAAGAUUUAUCGCCCAAGGAUGAGCCCGCGUAGGAUUAGCUUGUUGGUGAGGUAAAGGCUCACCAAGGCGACGAUCCUUAGCUGGUCUGAGAGGAUGAUCAGCCACACUGGGACUGAGACACGGCCCAGACUCCUACGGGAGGCAGCAGUGGGGAAUAUUGGACAAUGGGCGAAAGCCUGAUCCAGCAAUGCCGCGUGAGUGAUGAAGGCCUUAGGGUUGUAAAGCUCUUUUACCCGGGAUGAUAAUGACAGUACCGGGAGAAUAAGCUCCGGCUAACUCCGUGCCAGCAGCCGCCGUAACAC
rnacentral:rRNA from 1 species